rnacentral:rRNA from 1 species
GGUGGACAGCGGCGUAAGGGAGAGUAACGCGUAGUUACUUGCCCCAGGGUCCGGGAUAGCGGUGGGAAACUGCCAGUAAUACCGGAUGAUAUCUACGGAUCAAAGGUGUGAUUCCGCCCUGGGAGAGGACUGCGUCCUAUUAGCUUGUUGGUGGGGUAAUGGCCUACCAAGGCAUUGAUGGGUACCGGGUGUGAGAGCAUGGCCCGGCUCACUGGGACUGAGACACUGCCCAGACACCUACGGGUGGCUGCAGUCGAGAAUCUUCGGCAAUGCGCGAAAGCGUGACCGAGCGACGCCGCGUGCGGGAUGAAGGCCUUCGGGUUGUAAACCGCUGUCAGAGGGGAUGAAAUGCCGGAAGGCUAUCCUUCCGGUUUGACAAAUCCUCAGAGGAAGGACGGGCUAAGUUCGUGCCAGCAGCCGCGGUAAGACGAACCGUCCAAACGUUAUUCGGAAUCACUGGGCUUAAAGGGUGCGUAGGCGGUCCGGCAAGUUGGGUGUGAAAUCCCUCGGCUCAACCGAGGAAUUGCGCUCAAAACUGCCGGACUUGAGGGAGACAGAGGUGAGCGGAACUUGCGGUGGAGCGGUGAAAUGCGUUGAUAUCGCAAGGAACACCAGUAGCGAAAGCGGCUCACUGGGUCUCUUCUGACGCUGAGGCACGAAAGCUAGGGGAGCGAACGGGAUUAGAUACCCCGGUAGUCCUAGCUGUAAACGAUGAGCACUGGGUUGGAGGCUCCUCCAUAGGCUUCCUGCCGUAACGAAAGUGUUAAGUGCUCCGCCUGGGGGGUAUGGUCGCAAGGUUGAAACUCAAAGGAAUUGACGGGG